UGCUCCAGGCCAGUGGAAGAGAGGCGGAAGCCCUCCCGUCUCCGUCUCCGCUGCACAUCUCCCGCCCACACGGGUUGGGUCCCAGGCUCAUUCUGAACCACCCAGUACCUGAAUGGUCCACAUCUGACUCGGGCUGAGUGUGGACUGGGGACUGGCAGUGGGUUCCCAGAGGAAAAUCACUGUUCUGUUACCCAGGAGACAGGUUUGAAUGAGACUCUGUAUAGGAAAGUACUCUGUAAUAUGAAGGGCUACCCAGCACUUGGGAAGCUGAGGCAGGAGGAUCGCCAUGAGUCCGAAGCUGGCCUGGUCUACAUCGUGAGUUCAAGACCAACCUGAACUACACAGCAAGAUGCUGUCUCAACAAAACAAAAUUGUGAAGGGCUACACAAAAAUGAAGGAUUGUUACUAUU